GCCCAAACUAAAUUUAAUUAAAUCAUAUUCAAUUAGACUUAAUCUCAGCCCAUUGGCUUAAUCAAAUUAAGCCAAUUAGCAAUCAAAUUGCUAAUCGAUCCUCCUAUAAUAUUUGCACUAGGUUAAAUGUCAAUCGUAUUGAUCGUUUAACCCUAGAAUGAUUCUUAAUCGUUGAUCAACCAUCCGAUCGGAUUGUGAACUCUAAUGUGUGUGACCUCAUAGGUCUGAAC
rnacentral:lncRNA from 1 species